ACCAAAGCCCUAACCGUUCCCUCAUGACAGGUGAGGACACAGAGCGCCAGGGAAACCAAAUAAUUAGGCCUGGGUCACGAGGCUAAGAAGAGGCGGCCCUCGACAGUGUCAAAAGAUUCCUCGGACUGUUGAGGCAGCUCAGCCACAGCCAGGUCUCCGGCCUCCCGACAUGCAGGCCUAAGCACUUCCACCACGCUGCAUCACACACAGGCCUUUGUCUCCCUGGCAACCGCGACGCCGUAAACAGCUGUGGCCAGCGACCAGUUAUUUAGCACAUGCCACUCCGCAGCCAUCUUAGUUUGGUGACUUCAAGGAAACACUGCCCUGGUCAGGUGAGCUUAAGAGGAAUGGAAAAUUCCAGGUCAGUGAGCAACACACCCUCCAGGUAUCCUUUCUUCAUCAGCCCUGCCUUCGGAGGCUCCCGGGCCCUUCAGUCCCACCACCUGUUAAUAUUUCACUCUGGGAAGGCUUUCGGGAACAAAGAACACAGCACUGGCCUUGAGGGGCCAAAGGUAGGCAGUCCAGGGUGCAGCUCAUAAAUGGGAAAAGCGCAAACGUGCUUUGAAGGAGAAUGCUGCAGCUUGGCCUCCUGGGAACAACGGGGCUGCUAUUCAUAGAAAAGCCUGUGAUUUGCAUCUGUCUGACAUUUGAAUUAGGCUCACCUAACUAACUGCCUUCCCCACAGAUGUGCCUCGCUGGGUUCUUCUUAGUGUUCCUCCCAGUCCAGGUUUUUGACAAGCGUGGGAGAUGAUUCGCAGCGCUCCCCCUUGGUGGCAGGGGCUGGCCUUCCACCCCUCUACCCCAGGAUUUCACAUUCCCGGCAUACAUGUACGUCUGCUGAGCUCAUAUGGCGAACACUGAGGGGCUGAGGUCACAGGUGAGGAAAGCUGGUAGGAUCACCCCCCCCCCAAAUCCUGGCUAUUCGUUAUUAACCCUUCACCCACACUCCCGGCACCUGGAAAGUCAGAGGUUCUAGUGUGGUUCUGAGCUGGGGGCAGGGAAGAAUCUGGGCCCACUGUAGUCCAAAGUGGCCAGGGCAGUGGUUCUCAGCCUUCCUAAUGCUGGGACCCUUUAAGACAGUUCCUCGUGUUAUGGUGAUCCUCAACUAUACAAUUAUUUUUGUUGCUGCUUCAUAACUGUAAUUUUGCUACUGUUACCAAUCAUGAUGUGAAUAUCUUACAUGCAGGAUAUCUGAUAUAUGACCCCGGAGAAAGGGUCCUUUGACAAGCCCCCACCCCGGAGUCAUGACCCAUCAUGUUGAGAUCAGGCCAGGAAUUUAGGCCUUACAAUGCCCAUCUUUCAAGGAUUCCCUGGAAGGAGUAAUCCCAGUGCCUGACUGGGAACCUAGCUCCACUCCCAAGAAUCCUGAUGGUUCAGGUUCAUCUUGGGCUCAGGAAAAGAACUCUAGCUCUGUACCCCAAAGAAAGUGACCUCAGGAGUCUCUGAGACCUGAGCACCAGCAUAGGUGAGGUUGGUCCUCCGUGGGGCCACUCCACGCCCCCUGAACUGCCUGCCUCACCAACCCGUGAGCCCAGAGAACACGAGAACGGCCAGUGUACCACGAGGCUGGGGCCACGGCCGUGUGCAUCUCUACACGCCUCAGCUGUGCUUUGAUGGUUCUCAUCAAGAUGAGAAACACCCUAGAUGGACUGCCGUCUCAGAUGGAAACACGCCACGCCUGUAUCUCCAUGUGCUGGUGCACAGCCAACACGUGAGAUAGGAGUCCAUGUGCUCCCUGCCCUUGAACCUCUGCCUAUGGCUGCCAGGUUGCUUCUCCAGGGCCAGAGCCCUUAAAUCUCUGCUUUUCUGAAGGACAUUACGCUGCCACUGAUCCAGACUUAAGCAUGUCACCGAGGCUAUCGGUUUGAAUUUUCUAAUUGGAGAAAACUUUCAGAGUGUGUCAACCCAAUGCUACCAUAGAAACAGAUGUGACCACCUAAUGUAUCCGAAAUGGACAUAAAGGGACAACGCUAUGACACAUGCUGUGAUAUGUGAACUGAAAAACCUUUCACCCUCAGGAAAUAUGUGGCCCACUUAGAAAUGAUAUUUUUCAUCAGGACAGAUGAUCCAGGAGUGGUGAACCAUGACAUGGAAGUCGCCUUCCAAGUCUGGCAAAUCGCCAGUCCAUGCAAUGCUCAUGGGUCCUAGCAUGUGACAGGCACUCAGCCCUCACGUCAUAGCCCAACCAGGCCUGGGUGGCCGGCCAUGUAUAGAAAACCUAUAGUCUUGAGAUAGAGUCUAGUAAGUUUCCCGGACUGAAAAUGAACUCACUCUGUAGCCUAGACAAGCCUUGAGCUCUCAAUCCUCCUGCCUCAACCUCCUGAGUGCUGGACUCAUAGGCCUGUGCCACCAGCUGCAUCUCACCCACCAUCUGCACAGCGCAUCCUUGGCAGCACCCUUCCACUUACACAGGGCUCUGCACAACAGCUGGGGUAAGUUCCCAGACCGUAUGCUGAAGCCUUGGCUGUCAUCUUGGGACACUAUUGGGACUUGGUAGAACCUCUGGGAGGUAGAGCCUGGUGUUAGGAAAUCAAAUCACUGGGGUGUUUCUGCAGAGGGUGUGACCUUGGUCUCUUCCUGUUUCUCACUGUUGCCUGGUCACCAUCAGCUCCUUUACAGUACGCUCUUGCCAUACUCUACCUCCUGACAGGCCCAAAGCCAUGGGGGCAUGAAUGGAACUUGCCAUCCGCUGAUUCAAGCGUUCUGCUUUCUUACAGAACCACCUGAAGGGGCGGGCACUACCCUAGAAGCUCCCAAACUCUAGAACUGAAAGUGAGCAGAUGAUAUCCCCUCAGGUAGGGAAGACGGACAUGGUUAGGAAAGGUUUUCCAGAGAAGACAGUGGAAAGAUGGACAGGCCUAGGAGGUCAAUACAGUAUCCCACGCCAGAGGGCAGUAACGAAAAGCUUCACUUGAGAGUGAAACCCCGCCCCCCCCCUGCUGUUACUGUAGCGGGGUGGCUCUGAACUUCAAGGGCAGGGUGACACCUUUGGCCAGGGCAGCUUCCAUCUCAGUCAGCUGUUCCCGAGGACUUUUCUUGUUUGAAAUAGCUGCCCAGAUCCGUUUCCCUAUCAGUUCCAGAGGCCAGAGAUGAGAGAACAGGCUUUGUCCACGUGCAGGGCGGAAGGUGUAACCGGUAAGCUUGGCCCACGCUCAGCUCAGUGGGCAGCCUCUGGCCAGGAGCCAGGCCCGACCGCACCCUAACGUCCAACCAGGAGAAUUUAGACAGACCCUACCUAGCUCUUUUCCCCCACGUGACUAAAAUCCUUAUCAUCCUAAAAGUUGUAAAAACGCCAAAGUUUAACCUUAUUGAAGUCACAUUGUUCUGGUCUUGGCAACCCUAAUGGGAUUUUACCAGUUGGCCUCCAAUGGAGUCCUUGACCAGUCCAGUGUCUGCCAGCGUCCAUGACGGAUGACCUCCAACGUCAGGGACUGCAGCCCACCCGCACUCUCAGCCUCCCGUGACCAUCCAGCGCCCGGGUCACUGUGGCCUUUCAUGAAGGCCUUCUUUCUGUUUUGUUACUCAUGGAAACGGAGACAGUUCCAGGCUCCUGGGCCCUGGGGAGGGCAAAUGAGCGCUCACCAGCUGAUGGUGUUUUCUUCUGGAUUAAUGAAACACAGCGGAGCGUUCAGCUGCCAUUGCAGUGAUUAAUAUGUCAGAUUGGUGUCACAGGAGAAGCAAGCAAGGAAAGUGAAGUUUGAACAGAAGAGGAAGAACAGAGACCCAAAGAAGGAAAAGGGAAAAGAAAGGAGUAGGUGUUGGGAGGGCACCAUUCCUUGGACUGGCGCCACCAGGCUGAGCCCCAAGGGAAAGGUCGAGGUCUCUCUGCCUCAUACUGAUGGGAAAGAGGUCUUGUUAUUGAAAAAAAGACUCUAGGACACUUCUUAGCUUAUCCGGCCACAUCCUGGGGUAUGAGAGAUGUGGAGCACUUCAGGGGUUCUGCUUAUUUGUUUGUUUUUUUGGUUUUUU